ensembl:lncRNA
GCUUCAUUCACAGAUGCUCAAAACACUGGCACUCCUUUUCUUUCUGACCACCAUGGAUGCUGAAGAAGUAAAGCGUAAGAAACUGGCAGCAGGGGUUCAACUUAUAAAGAAUGCAUAGUCCAAUGAAGAAGAGUUAGUGGACACAGAAAAACAGAGAAGAGGUUUUCUGCUCUUGGCUACUUCCAACCUAUGUUUACUUAAAAAGGGGGAAUAGGCACAGCAACAAGCAAUGUGUUUGCCUCCAAAUGUGCUCAGCUGUUUUAAUGUGGCAAUUAUCUUGUUGCCCUCCCCAGCAGAAACACAGUGCAGAUAUUAAUCAAGAUGCUUGGCUCCACAGGUAGAGUAGGUAACCCUUGUACUGAAUAGAAUUUGUGGGGAGGAGUGUAUAAAUCCUAGAAAGGGAAUUAGUAGUAUCAACAGCUGAUGCAUUAUUUAUUUGGAGGCACAGACCACAAUCUAUAUUAUUGUUAGACCUGAAAUGAAAUACUAUACUUAAAAAAAAAAUCAUCCUGUGCUUGGUUUUCGAAGCUCAUUGACUAGCAAAUGCGCUAAAGAGUUGCAGUCAAGGGUAAUGGACAUAAAAGCAGCCCUGUUUUGUUAACCAAGAAAAGAAAGCAAUGGCAGCAGGCGUCAGUACAACCACUAAGUGUGACCUCUAGACAAAGCCACUUCCUUCUUCCUCUGCUGAUAUUGCUUGCAAGUGACUUUGGUUUUAUCUAACUGAUAAGGUGACAACAAGCAACAGGUGCAUAUAGAGAAAAUUUAUGCAGUGGCAGAGGUCCUUCACUUUACCCCAACUGGAGAUCCCUAAAGUUUCCUGGAUCUUCCACCAAUCUCCCCACACAGGUGUUUUGAGUCAGCGGUAGCUGUGAGGCCUUAGCCUCCUGCAGCUGCUUUUCAAACCCAACGUCAGGUCCCGAACGCUCCAGGCCCCAGCAUGUCCCAUGUAGGCACGGUCCCCAAAGGCCUCCAUUCAAAGCCCAAACCAGUAUUUCAGGCUUAGACAACAUUCCCUUAUGUGAAAGCCAGAUGCAACCCUUCUCCAGUUUGCUUAAACCUUAUGUUCUACCAGAACUUUUUAGCUCACUCAGAAAAGCUUGUCCUUAUCAUCACAGACCCCCAAAAAAUUAUCCACCCCACCCCAUCCUCAUUUUCCACUGGGAAGAAGUUUCUGAGACAGCAUUUGUUUCUCCCCUAACCUCUUCAACUAGUUAACAUUUUCAGUUGCAAACAACAGGAAUGGACUCUGGCUCACCUACAAGGAAAAGAAUUUAUUGGACAGAUAUGCAGUGCCUCACAGAAUCAACAGGAAGUCUGGAGGACCAAACUCAGAAAAAUAAGCACAGGCAGCUGAGAACACAGCCAAGGCGCUGCCACAGGCAGUCAGUAAGGACACAGGCACCUCCCUCCUGGCUACGGGGACUCAUGCCUGCCACAGCCACCACCUUGAUCCUGCUGCUACCUCCGUCAUCCUGUCUCUCUGCUUAUCUCCUCACAAGUCAAGUCUGGGCACAUAAUGCCAAUCGGCCAAGGACUAAGUGCUCAUGUCCUGGCUGCUAGGGAGAGGAGAAGAGGGGAGGAUGUGCGUUGGGAGGCAGACUCUGCAGGAGCUCCUCAGAUGACAGACAAGAGGAAGUUCUUCCUAGACUCCUCUCCUGCUUCCUCGGUUCAAAUCCCAACUUCCUUUUACUCACUCAAAGGACCCCACUUGGUUCAGCAAAUAGUUUUGGAAUAUAUAGCAGAUGUUUGCUACUGUAUACAGUGCUUUGGGGAUAAAAGAGAAAUAGCUACAGUUGCUGAUCUCAGAGAAUUAAGGCAUCAAGAGAAAGGGGGAGGGCUAUAUUCCCAAUGAAGAGGUGGCAGAGAGAUGCCUGUCCAUGCUUACAGCUUAAAAGAAAAGCUCUGUGGAUGCCCUCCACAUGCCCCCUCCUCACGGGUUAGAAUGCAGAAUUCCAGAUGUUAUUUCAACUGGACCGUCACCCCUAUCCAGCUGAGAUAUGCGAAUCAAUGUGUGUCUUUGAGACUGAGCUCAUUCCCAGGAUGUGAUUUCUAGAACUUGAAGCAACACACCUAAUUUCCAACUAUUCAGAGAAAGAACUAUUUCCUGGGCCAGCCUGGGGGCAUAGUGAUUAAGUUCACGUGCUCUGCUUUGGUGGCACAGGGUUUGCAGGUUCAGAUCCCAGGUGUAGAUGUGAUCAAGCCAUGCUGUGGCAGCAUCCCACAUACAAAAAAUAGAGGAAGAUUGGCACAGAUGUUAAAUCAGGGACAAUCUUCCUCAAGCAAAAAGAGGAAGAUUGGCAACAGAUAUUGUUAGCUUAGGAGCAAUCGUCCUCACCAAAAAAAAAAAAGAAGAAAAAGAAAUAUUUCCUCUUUGUGCCAAUGUCACACUGUUCAUGGGUAGGGAUAAAGUGGUAGUGAUGGAAACCACACCUAUCUACUAGGCACUGUGCUACAUGAGUGAUAAGUAUGAUUGCCAUUAGACCUCCCAAUAUUCUUCAUGAGGCAAUGUAGAGGCUAAGGGUAAGGGUUCUGGAAAUCAAAGAGUCUAAGAUCAAAUCCAGGCUCUGCCACUUCAUAACUGUGUGCCCUUGGGCAAGUUUCUCAAGCUUUUUGUCCUUUGUUUCCUCAACUGUAAAAGGAGCAUAAUCAGAGCCUCCGCCUUGGAGGGUUGCGGUAAGCAUUCCAACAGAUAAAAUAUGGAAAGUGAGUAUAAGAGUACCUGGUAUGUAGGCGCUCAAGAAAUAUUGGCUAUUAUUAUUAUAAGGUAGCUCGUAAAAUGCCCAUUUUACUCAUCAAUAACCUGAGGUUGGAGAGGUUAAGUAGCCUGUCCAAGGUGAUAAAGCCCGCCCUUGUAUGUAGAUAUGGAGCAGAACCGGAAUGCCAAGCUGGGGUUUGACUCUAAAAACCCAUGUUAUUUCCAUGACAUCGUGUACACUGUCAAACACACUCAGGCAUAUCAGCUGCUAUCCAGAGCAAGAGCUGCAGUUCCACUGCUCGUGAUGCUGAGGAACUGUCACAGCAAUUAUCUGUAUUAAUAAGUCUCCACUGUUUCAUCUCUAGUGAUUAUCCUUACUUAUUUUGGUCAUUCUUAGAAAGGCAAGAACUCAAAUUCCCAGAAACCUGUAUGACGGCAGCAGAUGAAAAGCAGUUUUCAAUUGGUCCAUCUAUACCCUAGACUGACACGAACCUUUAGAAAUGAUGGCAUUCACUUUCCUGGUAUUUGGGUACAGGGUCCCUUUUAUGAGUUAACUAAAUCAGGGCUGUGAAUUAGAAUGAGUUGUAAAGUCAAUUUUGGGGUUGUUUUUGGGGUUUUUCUUUUUCCCCAGUUCUCCUUCUUUUUGUUCUGCCUUUUUCUUUCUUAUUUAUUAUUUGAGAAAUAGCUACAACUUCUGAAUGCCACUAAAAUUAAGAAAGAAAGGGACCAACCUGUGAUUUUUAGGUCUCCCCAUCCACCACCCGCCUGUCACCCAUCACUCUUCUCCCCUUCUCCCCUAAAAUAUGCCUGACAGCGGGGCACAAAUGCCAGCAGCCAGACUCCAAAGCUGCUAUGAGGCGCCCCACCAGAGGUGCCUUAGCAGGAAGCCAUCCCCAAAGUCACCAGAGUGACAAGAUGGCAAGUUGUGGAGUGGCAGGGGCACCAGGAGUUUGUUUAACUCUGGGGCUAUCUGUCCAUCACCUUUCUUUCCUGCACAGCAUGCAGCUUGCCUGGGCUUAAACCACAGUGGUCAAUAAAGCCACACAGAUCAGGGUGAGUAAAUGAAAGGCAAUAAAACACAGCCAAUCUGACUCGGGAAGGAAAAAGGGCAUUUCUUUCCUCGGGCACCCUAUCAAAGUGAAAGCAAGCUUCCUUUCGACUUAAGCAGACCAAAAAGAAACCGUAGGCAUGCUCAGAUCACCUAAUGUUGAACAGGAAGGUGCGAUGUAAUGUACUCUAUAUCCAAUGUUUCAUAGUUCAGGACCAGCUCAGUUGUUGUUAGCAUCUUGUACGGAUUCUGUGUCUUGUUUCUGCUCUCAUAGAACAGGUACCAUGAAAUACACUAGAACUGUGAAAUUCUUGCUUUAUUUCUGAUUGAUGUAAAUCUGACUUAACACAUUGCAUAAGCAUUUACUGUUAUUUUGAUUUUAUUGCUUCGAUUAAUUCCAUUUUAAUACAUGAUGAUAAUAUGAGGUUUGGUUUACCGCAUUAUUAUUGCCUACUGUCGAGAUAAACGUCUCCCAAUUAUAUGACAGACAGCAGGUGUCCCCACCUUCCGAAUAGAUACCAAUGCGUGACACAUCUCCUACAUCCUAAAAAUGUCUAACUAGAGUAGGCAGAACUACCCUAGUCACUGAAUGAAGUGUUCUACUCUGAUGUCCCUUAACUGACACACAUUUCAGAAGCUCAUCUCUUGGAAUCAACCACAUUUUAUCGUCUCUACAUACAUUCUUGUUAUUUUCAUACAUUGUGGAAGACGCUACCAAUAUCCUCCAUUGUGUUGUUUUGUUUUCUUUUAUCAAACAGCAGAUUAUUUGUUUAUUUGGUCUAGACUAUCUUGUCUUAAUAUCAUUACUUUAGUCAAAUAUCCCACCUAGGAGAAUUCUUUUUUUUUCAUUUUUAACACAGGCUUGGUGUCAUACAUAUGGUCUACAGUUAACCCAUUCAUAAACUCACACUUUGGUCACCAGCUGAUGAAUAACCUUAUCAUCUAUGCUUGUAUAGUAUAAUCAUAUAAUAUAUUACACGUAACAUAUAAUAGAUAACAUAAAAGGACAACAGUAUACCAUUUAUAUAAUGUUAGGAUACCAGUAGCAAAAUUGAUAUCCACAAACCUCAUACACAAUUAGUCAUAUUAUAAGAAUUUCCUGUACAUUUUAGCAUUUUAUUGUCCUUUACUUUCUAUUUCACAUUGAGGAGGUUUUUUUCUUGAUUUCCUCACUGUCCAUCACUCAAUCUUAAACUGACACAGCAAAUCCUCCAGUGGCAUCAAAUGGCAUGCCAUGUUUCAGCCAAAUUCCAGACAGUUUGCUCCUCAUAAUUUAUCUAGGAUGAAGGGAAUAGAUGUGUUGUGGCCCUAUAUAGAUUUGGGAGCCUACUUAGUUUUGAAAUGCUAGGAAGAAGAAUUUUUUAUAAUUUUGUUUCAUGGAAGUGAAAAUGCUCAGGAUUACUAGUUUGUUGAUCUAAAUUAACUCAGAUGAGAUGAAUUCUAUUAUUAUUUUAAAUAUUCUGACUCUGCAAAAUAUGGAUUAGAAUCAUUAGAAGAAUACAGAUUCUACAGGCAAAUAUAGCUGGGACAAAAAUUUCCAAGAGACACACUAAGCAUUUACCUUCUAAAUUAUUAUUUAUUUGAAAAGGAUCCCUGAUUCUAUUAACCAGUCAACUGUGACUGAGAUUUUGUCAGGACAUACCUGCUUUUGUUGUUAUAUGUCUCAGUUUCCACAUUUGUCUCAGCUACCUGGCCGGAGUUACAUAAUUAUUCAUGUAUCAGACAAUAUAUAUGUGACAUUUCUUACCUUUGAGAAGCUAUAAAUAGAUUCUAAGAGUUAUUCAUUAUAUUAAGCAGCCCACUUUCUGGUCAAUUAAUCAGAUAGUGAGAGUGUCUUAUUUUGACUCUUAUAAAAAAUUUUAUUUCUAAACUAUUUACAAAUAUACCAUGUUAAUUCCACUCUCUACCUACAGCUGAAGGCUAAUUAUCUUAUGUGAUCCCCAACAGUCAAAGUGAUAUUUACUGUAAUGGUGAAUAGUGAUAUUACCUUCUUGCUCCAUAUAUCUACUGACUCCAAAGGCAGCCACCACCUCAUUUGCCAUACAAAAUCUUCAUUAAGUACUUAUACCAUAUUAGACUCUAACAACAUUGUACUAGUUUCAUUAUAAAACCAACACAUCCAUGGCAUGUAAAAGCCUAUUCACUAAGGUUUAGAGUAAGUAUAUCACACAAUUGUAUACAAUGUUUUGUAAAUCUAAAGCCCAGUGCAAACAAACAAAUAAGACAAAAACAGAUGACCACAGUCAAGGAUGUAACUGGAGCUCCAGACCAGCAAACACAAAAACUAGGUCAAUCUCAAGAAGAAAAUUUCACUGAUCAUUACCAGAAAUAUUCACAUUGUCUUGAUCAUCCCAAUGGGACACCAGAAGUAGCUCAUCCUUUGGGGGAUUAAGAGUGGUCCCAACACUCAGGUGCUCAUGAGUCUCUAUUUAUUCAACUUGGGACUUUUCCACUCCAGAAGCCAGACUACACCCCAUAGCAUGGUGCCCUGCAAAGACAGAUACUCAUGAAAGAUGUCAGAGAUGGGAGGAGGAGAUAUGUUGAAUUAACGAAUAACUCCUUUUGGCUAAAUUCCAUAAAGUGACUUCUUCCCCUGACUUACUUCUCUAGGGUGACAUCCUUGACCAAAGCUGAACACCCUGGAGGCACUUCUCCCAAUUCCCAUCACACUCCAUGCUCCUCCCUGUGAUAAUACAGAUUGAUAAUACACUGUUCCCAACUGUGAACCCCCUGAAGGCAGGAGUUGACUUUAUCUAUUUCUUAUUCCCACUUCAAUAAAUGUCACUAAAUGAAUAAAUGAAUGCUUAAGUUCGGUUAACUGCCUUGGUUCUCCCAUUGACCAACAAGAACUGAGUCCUUCCUGAACAGGCCUGAAAAUGCUAUGUAACUGAAUAUCUUUUCAUGAAUCUGAUGUGCGUAGGGUGGGGAAGAAAAUAGGACUAUUGAGGUGCUGCCCCCAAACCUCUACUCUCAGACCAUUCUCUCCCCCUUUUCACUCUUGAGAAAGCACAACCACCACUAGGGAAGGUCUGAAGAAAGAAAGCAUUUAAAUUGCAGUAUUUCCUGCUUCACUUGUCCCCAUCUUUACAAACUUUCUUGAUCCUGCUCUAUUCUAAUGUGCUCAGCAUGUCUGAAGCAAUGGAUUUAAUGAAAAAGACCAGGAGUGAGGAGAUAAUCCCAUUACAUAACAGUUUAAAUCAACGAAACCUGAGAACUGAUGUUGUGCCAUGAUGUGAACUCUAACCAGAGUACCAAAGGCUGGGCUUCUUUUCUGUCAAUAAAAGUGGCAGUUCCCCAGAAACACACACACAUACGGACAUACAUGUUCACACACCCUACCUGCUUGGUUCAAGGUAAAAGCACUGGGCUAUAUGUCACAGAAACUGAAUUUUCUUGCUAUGAUAAGUUGCCAAAAACCCUGACCAAGUUUUCCAUAUAGUCCCCAACUACAAAAUGAGGCUAUUGUAGCUACACACUCUCCCAUCCACUGUGUUUAUAGAAUAUCUGCCAGCGAUUUCUAGUUCCAAUUUUUGAUAUCCUUGUGUCGACUCUAGUAUUGGGAAAAGAAAUGGUGGAAAUUCUCCAAAAUAAAGCUCCACUUUCAUCUUGAGAGAAGAAGGAACAGAGUUUUAAAAUCAAGUAAGUGACAUAGAGUGACAAAAUGCCAAAGAAGAAGGGAAAUGCUAUUCUAUUGUCAUAAGCAGCAAAGGACAAUGAACCAGAGAAUGAACCCUAAGCAAGAGAAAAAUAAGUCUUAAGAUAUUUAAAUACCAAUUUGUUGAUGGAGGUUUGAGAAGUAUGGCCAUAAAAGCUUUGCUCAUCCUGUGCCUCAUUUCUCUCAUCCCUCUUGCUUGAAAACAUCGCCCUGCCACUGAAUCCAGGAGAGCUGGGCCGAGUUGACCACCAUGGACUCCGAAACUUUUUUGAAAACUUGCGUCUUAAAUAUCAAAUUAUUUUCAAAAGACUUUUUUUCUUAAAGCAAAAUCACAAGUAAGACUAGAUAAAAAAAAAAUUGUGGUAAAUUCAUAUAAUGGACUACCCACUUGGCAAUAAAAAGGAACAAACUAAUGAACGAUACAAGCAACAACAUGUCUAAAACUCAAAAAACAUUACGAUGAGCAAUAGUCAAACACAAAAGUAUACACAUGGCAAGAUUCCAUUUAUAUAAAGCAUAAGAACUGGCAAAAUUAAUCUAUGAUGACAAAAAUGAGAGCAAUGGUUGUCUGGUAGCGGGAAGGGUGGCUAAGUAGAAAGGGCAAAAAGAAAGUUUUUCAGGUGAUGGAAGUAUUCUAGAUCUUAAUUGGGUGUUGGUUACAUGGGUAUAUUCACUUGUCAAAACACAUCAAAAUGUAUACUUAAGAUCCAUCCAUUUUACUGUAUGUAAAUGUACUUUAAUUUUAAAAAUUCACAAGCUUAUUCACCACUAAGCUCCUCUUACCUUUGACUAAAUCUAGGAAGUCUAAUGACAUAAGGGGAAAAAACAUCAAAUUCCGGGAAAGGAGGACCUGCAAAGUAACCCCUGUCUUCUCGCUUUCCAGCUCUAUCAUCUUGAGCAAGUAAGUUAACAUCUCUACUCCACAUUUUCCCCAUCUGUAAAAUGGGAAAACUCUAUUAACAGUCAUUUUGAACAAAAUACUGUAAAGAUAAAAUGCCAAUAGCAUACAGAAAAAUGCCUUGUAAAUGGUACAAUGCUAUAUACAAAAAAGAUGAAGGAAAUCAUUAUUCCCCAAAUUGGGGUGGGGGUGGGGAAAGGGACUCUAUUAGGGAGCACUCCCACGGGGAUUAUUUUGAUUUAUGUGAUAAUUUUCUCUUUCCACCAUUUUGAAACACGGAUUUCUGCAGCUGAUCAGAGGCACUAAACCAGGAGCUCACAUUUGGCCUCGAUUUUUCCUUACACGUACACACACAUACACGCACUCCUUCCACAAGCUCAGUCUGCUCUCACUUGCUCUAGCUACUCUGUCUGCUUUGCAAGGUGCCCAAUCUGCAUAAACCAUGAGGAUAAAUCAAGUAGGCAAUGAGAAAAAGGCAACAAACUACAGCCAUGGCCAAGGUGCAAAACCUCACACCAUGAAGGACGGGUCAUUAGGCCCUGCUGAGAGUUAAGGAGGUCACCUUGCUUAAAGUGGACUUGGUCACAGGAAGUCGCCCAUUUGUGGCAGUCUUCUCUGCCUCACUCCCCUCUUUGCUUCUCCCCCCACCUGCUCUUUUUGGAGAGUUGUUUACGUGUUCCCUGUACCUCCCUCUUCCCCUGCUCUUGCGUCCUCUCCCGCACUUUCUCUUUCUCUCUAGGCUGGGUUUAAUUUGACACCUUGAGCUUUGGUAACGAGGUGGGGAGCAGAGCAGCCACAGCGGAAUUCAUUAGGCUCAACACUGCAGGGCCCGCUCUCUGUGCGUUAAUGACAUCGGAGGGUAGGGAAACGAGACAGCCACCACGCGAGAUGAAAUAAACAUGAGGACUGUCAGCAGUGACAGCCUAAGCAAAGGGGACAAAAUGAGCCAGGUAGAGACCUUUCCCCGUCCGCACAAUGCAAACCGACAGCUUGCAAAGCCCCCCCUCCCCACAACCUCCCCCUACCUUACCCAAAGCUGAAGAGCGAGUAAGAGGUAGGGUGAGAUGGAAGCAUGGAUGGGAAAGAAGGAAAGAAAAGACAAUGAAAUUAUCAUCGUUUUAACAUACAAAUUUCAUUUAUCAGUUUAAUAGUGGCGCAAACCAAAUUCAUCACCCUCUUUCAGAGACAGCAGGUACAAGGAGGUUGGGGGCGGGUCUGGGCUUGCUACGCCUGGCGUCUUCUUUCCUUCCUCCUCCCUGCCUUAAGCUCUCUUGGCUGAUUUUUUUUCCUGAGCAGCAUUAUUGCCCCCACCUUCACCCACUAUAACUCCAUCCCUCCCUGUUACUAAAGGGAGCACUGGAAAGAGAAAAAGAAGGGAAGAAUGAAAGCAGAGGUGGUGGAAAAGGAAGAGAAACGCCGGCUCCUGUACAUUUUCUUUUCUUGAAGGGCGGGGGAGGUUGACAAAAAAAAUUCGGGCAGCAUGUACUAGACCAUGGAGCAGAGCAGCAUGAGCUAUAUCCAGACUGAGCAAAGUCCUGAAUGUGUACACCAAGAGGAGCAAGGGCCCUGUCCCCAGUUGGCAGUUAUCAAGAGGGUUCACUGGCAAGGAAGGUCUUAGGGACUGCGAUGACCUUCUCUUGUCUACACAACGUGGGAGGAACAAAUUGGCUGUAGCCAAACUAAGUCAAGGCCUCCUUCUCUUCCACAGGAAAUAAUCCUAUAUCCAUAGGAGCAAGGAGAAAGCCUCCUUUCACUGCACUUGCCUAAGAGAAAGGGGACUUCGCCACCUCCAAAAAGAGCUGACUCCAGAUGGUUGGCCACCAUGUGCAGCCCAGGGUUGGUAUCUGCAAUGCUACAUUCUCCCAGUUGAGUCUGUAGAUCCACACAGCCAGAGUAGAGAGCUUCUUCCAUGCCCCUUCCCAGAAAGCUUCAACUCUUUCUCAGCCCUUCUCAGGCAGAGGACGUUAGUGAGCCAAAGCUCAUACUUUAAAAGCAAAUACCGUUGUUUUCUUUGGCCAGGGACUGCUCAAGCAAGGUUUUCAAAGAACCCUCAAAGCUGGCAAUAUUAUUAUGAGCAGAGAAAAGAAAGCCAUCGUAUUUUUAUUAACUAGCAUUAAAGGGAAAGUAUGUGAAGGCUGGAUCAAUGACAGAAUUCAAACUUAGACCAGACCCAGGAUGGUCAUUUUGAGUUGCAUGAAUAUGUUUGCCCUAUCACACCUUUCAUAGGAGCGGGGGGCAAAAAAAGCUAACUUGCAAGUCUGCUCCAGGGAUGUGAAAGAUGUAGGAAGACAGAUGCAGAGGAUUAUUUGUUGAGUAUUUGAAUGAAUGAAUGAAUCAAUGUCUAUAAGGACUACUUAUUCAAGGGAUGUUAUAGAAAAGGGAUGAGACUAUAAAUUGAAAUUUAUUUUGAUCAACUGCACAAAAGAAAGGGCUCCUUAUUCAAGAAAAAGACUACACAUGAGCAGAGGAUGUCAAGAAAAAAGUUUACAAACCAAAAUGCUAAAAGUUUCUAGCCCAUAGAUUGUUACUAGCUGCCAAGAUGCCCAACACAGGGUGAGAGUCUUGGCAACUGAGAAGAGCAGAGAUAAGAAGGCAAAGACUGUGGUUCUGCUGAGAAAGAGUGUGGAGCAGCCACAGAAAAGAAUCAGACAAAGGAAGUGGUUCUAGUGGCCUCCAAACUGAGGCAAAGGAAAUACUUAGGACGUUUUCAUUUAAAUGGACUGGCCCUCAAGGACCUACUUAAGCUCCUGAAAGCCCACAGUGAGAUUCCUUGUCUAAGACCAACCCCCUCACCCAAGGACAAGGCCAAAGAGGAAAGCCACUCAAGCCAAUGCAGGACCCAACAAGGAAUGGGGCUGAUGAGGAGGGAAAUGCGUAAAUGAGCUUCUUGCUACCCUUCACUCAGCAACAUCUGAACUGCACUGGGAUUGGGGGAAGGCCAUCCCCAGGGAGUGACCCUGAAAGUGACAGCCCCAUUUGAGAUAUCACAGACUCCCACCAGGAAUUCUCACUGAGGGAGGAAGGGACUUGUGUGAGGAAGAUGGGGGCAAUUCUGCCUUUCCGCCUCCCCAAGGACAGGUUUAAAUUACACACGCUCACAUUGGAAGGGGUGGGGAAAGGGUAGUGUGCCCUGAGAGCCUCCGAAAAAAAAUAAUUCCCCGGCCUCAGGGUCUACAAACUCUUUCACUCUAAAAAAAGAAAAAAAAAAAAAUCCCACUUCCAACUUCUUGGUUUAUUUGUGGUGGUUAUUAUUAUUAUUAUUAUUUUAUUAUUAUUAUCAUUAUGAUGAUUUAAUGGAGGGGUCCUUUUCCAACAUUUCAAUUGAUCAGAUAGAAGGAAAACUGGGCAGAAAAUGGGGUCAGGAAGGAUGGGUUAGUUAGCCAAGGAAGAGGCCUCUCCCCGAAAAGAGAAUGGAAGUGAAAACGUGAAUCUGCAAGACAAUUGCCUCUCUCCUCUCUCGGAAAACUCACAGAUGCCCUUAUCCUCCCUGUUUUCUCUCCCCUCCUGGCUUAAGAAUCCAAACCCAAACUCCAAACAGAGUGAAAAGAAAGUUGGCUUAACUUUUGGGAGAGGGAAGAGAGAAAGGAGGUGGCUUUGCAGGCCAAUUUGAGGAUGGGAAGGUGCCGUAACCUGAGCCAUUGACUAAUUAAGGCAGCAGCUGCCCCUCCCACCGCCGCCUCUCCUGCUGGAAGGCAGCGUCUAGCCGGCUUCCUAAAUCUGAUUAUCACUUGUUUUUACAUGGUUCUCAUGUGUCCUCUCCCGGCCCCCGCCCCCGCCGCACGACACCCCACACUCGCUUCAUAACCCCAAGUCCAAGAUCAUAACUCAGAAAACUCAGACUCAGAGGAGCCAUCCAAGAACUCUCGCUCCUUCAAUAACAGGUCGAUGCCAACCUGAAACCUCUUCCUCUCUGAGCACUGGGUUUGGAGCACUUCACUGGAGUGAUCCAAGAGAUCUAAGAGGUAUUUCCAUCCUGUCUUCUCAUUCUUUGACACAUCAGAGAAGCACAUACAGAAAGUUCAGCAGACGGUAGUAAUUUUGGCAAUAAUUUCUUGAGAGGUUCGGUCUGAAAAAAUAAAGCCAAAUUUAGAUUUAGAUGAAUUAUCUGUGACUUCUUCUUUCCAUCCUUCCUUCAACUAACAUUUAUGGAGCAUCAUAUACGUACCAAGCCCUGGUACUGCUAGGUAUGCAGAGAUGAACACAGCAUGGUUCCCUAGGAGUCUACCAUCUGGAAGGGGAAGCUUACAAUCUUACAAUCAUCUUUCUGGAAACUUUUUUGAGAGCAAGCACACUGUGGGUUCAGUACUAUGCUACCCUUAGGUCACUUUCAAGGCCAUGAUCAACAGCUGCCCUGAAGCCCUCUCUCUUUCUUCUGCCAAUGGCAAGCAAUUUGAGGACAAGGUCCUGUCUUGCAUUUCCCAUGACGCUUGGCUUAGAAGUUAAGUGCCGGGUAAAUGUUUUUGAAUGAAAGGAAGGAAGAAAGAGAAGGAAGGAGAAAGGGAUAUAAGAAGGUAAAACUCUUCUCUGAUUCGUGUAGUAAUGAACAUCUAAAAAUUAACAAAACUGGAUAAAAGCCAAGUGUGGCAGAAAAGUUUGCCCUUUUCACUCUUUAUUUUACAAGUACGUCCCAGGGAUCAUUCACUGUCCCUGGUCUCAGGACCCGUGUUUUCUCCGUAAGCCAGUCACAGGAAUGGCGGUGGUGGCCCAACUCCAGCUGCUCAUGGGAAGUGGACCCACAGAGUUGCUGCCAAGGCUGCUGGGUCAAGUUAGGAAGAGAGCAAAAGAGGGGCCUGACCCCCCUCACCCCCUCUCCUUCAGGAUACCUCGGGGUCAGGGAGGGUGGGCUAGCUAGCCAAGGAACAGGAUAGGACCCUCUCUCCAAAAAGAAUGUAAGUAAAAAUGCAAAUGUGCAAGACGAUCACCUCUCUCCUCUCAGAAAACUCUCAGAUGCCCUCCUCUGUUUUCUCUCCCCUCUUGGCUUAAGGAUGCAAACCCAAACUCCAAAGGGAGAUGUUAGCUGUAUUGAGAGUGCAUUUUAAGCAAUCUUAUAUCUAUCUGAUUCCACAAAAGACAAAAUGUUCACACCUCUGUUACAUAGCACCUAUCAAGCUAGAGUCCAAUGCAUCUAUUAAGAUGUAUUUAUUCCCAGUAGAGCAUAACUUCCUCAAGGGCAGAAACGUUUGAUUGAUCCUUCUUUUCAGUAGCAAGUACUCAAUAAAUGUUAAUAAGUGGAUUUUCCUCCUUUUUGCAUAAGCAAAUAAAACAGUGUUUCAAUUAAAAAAAUAUUAACUGAGUUUGUACUGUGCACUGGCUAUAUAAGCCCUGAUCAUUCUUUUCCAGAAAUUCAUUAGUCUAAUAAGGGAAUCUGAUCAUAAACCAAUAAAUAUACUAAAAUCUGGCAAGUAUUGUGGGGAGGUUAUGUAUAAAGGGCUAUGGUAAAAUAUGAAAUAUAAUAUUUUUUUCAUCAUGUUGUUGAAGACAACAUUUAUCAUGUCACUUAGCAUCUUCUUAUUAGGAACUACAGGAGAAACUUUGUUCAUGGCCAACAAUUGAUCUGUUUUCAAUUCUAAAUACUCUGAAAUAGAAAACUGAUCCUAUUUCCCUUUUUGCUUUUGCUACCAGGAAGCAGAAUCAAAUCUAUAGCCAACCUCUAUAGGAUCUGGACUGAACAAGGUCCCAGACUUGAUCCAAAGAGUCAGGAAGCUAUUUUCUCACCAGCAAAAGGACUGGGAAGGCCACAGUGAGAAAGGAUCUUAAACAGGCAAUGUUAUAUACUAACAUUCCUUUGCAUUUUAUUUUUCUACCUCAAUUUUCUUUUCUAGUUUCCUCAUUUAUUUAGUAAAUCUGUUCAUAUUGCUUGUAGCUUUUGGUAACCUACUUGAAUUCCUCUUUGAAAUGAGAUGAGCAAUAAAUAAAUAAAUAAGAUACAUAAAAGGUUUUGUUGGUAAACAGAAGAGAAUUUCAUUCAUGAGUACAAUCAUUUCCAAGAAAUGGAAAACUCAUACAGCCAUAAGGAAAAUGAAAAGAGGAAAUACAAACAUGGGAGGAGGGGCUGCUAAUAGAUACGAGCUCUAGGGCACCAGGAUAAAAGGUGAAUUUCUUUUCCUUUGCAAAAUUUUCUUCAUUAAGGUCUUCCUGGUGUAUACUGUUUUCUAAGCAAUAAAUUUAAACAUGGGAUACCUUGAAUUCUUUCUUUCCCUUCUGACACUUGGGGUGAUGUGAAGAUAAUAGGCCCUGCAAAUGUUACCAUCACCAGGACUUCACCUCCACCCAGGUCCUUUCCACCAGGCUGCCCUCUGGACCACACUUCCCUCAGGAGGUAGCUGUCCCCUCCUCAAAACGAGAACACCUAUUUAUCAAAAAAUGGAGCUGCUCACUGUGCCAAUCUGACAAGAGUGGCUCUCAACUGGAGACAUGAGCCUUUCAGGUCUCACCAAGGAAGCUCCCAUCUGUACCAUUUAGAAUCAUCUGAGAGGCCCAGGCCUGGAGGAGGCCACCCGUGGAGAUGUGACAGAAGGAUGGCACGACCAGGAAGGGUGUGCAAGAACAAGACCCUGUACCUUGCAUUAUGUUCCUGUCAAAACCCCAGGCUUUGCAGGAGAAAUUAGAAAAGGUGAGAUAUAUAUAUGGCAGUCCAGCUUUAGACCACCUAUGCAAACAAGUCACUCAUUGUCUGAAAGAAAUCAGGUGGAUUCUAAAAAGAAAACUGGUACAGACCUAAUGGAAAUCAGGAAAUAGGCCCAAGGAGAAUUUUAGACUUAGCUCCUUUUCCUUAUGUUUUACAGCCAAGCACAGCCAAGGGAUAAUUAAGUCUGUGUACCUGAGGAACAGGACCAGAGAUGUGUGGAGCCAAAUGAUUUGGGUUUUGGACAACUGAGUAGGAUUCCCCAGGAUUUUCUUGGAAGAACCACCAUUUGAAGGGCUGUCACUCAAUGAGAAUGAAUAUAUUUGUAGAAAAAUCUACAUUUAGUAAAACUUCCUGACUAAAACCUGUCCCAACUCAUCCUCUCAUUAGCUGUGCGACUUCAGGGAAGUUCAUUAAACUCUCUAUAUCUCAGUUUCUUCAGCUUAAAAACUAGGGUAAUAACAGCAGCUCUGCAUGUAGUCAGCAUUCCGUGUGCGUCAGCUAUUACGACCUGUGGACGGAAGAUCUCCCUGCUCCACAGAGAAGGAAGGAGCAUCACUUCAGCUGACAUCUCCAGUUCAGCUGCAUCCUAGAAUGACCCACCACCACUCUUCUCGCAGCCCGGGGCCCAGAGCUCUCUUCCCUUCAAAUCACUUGAACGGAGUAGACAUGAGUAUAAAGUAACAGCUUAACCAUCUACACUGCCUGCCUCCCCUCCUCGGCUGACGGCCAGGACAGACAGACUGUGCGUCUGUAUGUUCCAAGAGCCGGAGAAGCCUCCAGGGCUGGCCUGUCCCAGUAACUGGACUGAACAAGCCUGUAGACCAGUUUGAUCCAAAGAGACAAGCAGCUAUUUCCUUAUCAGCAGAAAGACUGGGCAGGCCACAAUGAGAAAGCAAUCACCGGAGUCUCAGAAACCUUAAGGAGACAGGAGGUCUAACGGCAGAAGGCCUCAAAGAGCAUUAAGUUAACCCAGUGUCUUCUACCAGCAGGGAGGGAGAAGAAGAAGAAAGAAGGUGGCUGUGGAAGGGGAGGGUAUGAAUAUGAAAGAUGAAGCUAACCAUGAAAAUUUAAUUUGUUAAAAUAAUGACUAGAGAAUGACAGAUAAUGCACAAAUUGUCUACAUGCAUUUAUGGAAUACAUAAUAAAUGUGUGUAUGAAUAUAUAUAACUAUAUAUGUGUGCCAUGAUAAAAAUUAAUUCCAGCUUCUAGAAAGCAUCAUUGUUUGUCUCCCUGCUGGCAAGAACCCCGGAGCACAGAGGUAAAUUUCACACUUCCUCUCGGCAGUCCCUCCACACAGACCACAUAGCUUAAGCUGCCCAGGUGAGCAAAUGUCACAGAAUGCCUAUUCAGCGGGUGGUAAAUUCCAGCCAUCCCAGGGAAAUGCCAAGUGGUCUCAGGUCACAAGUUUGGCAAAUAGCAAUUUGGGGGAGUGGGGGAGGCCCCCCCAGACGGGAGGAAGGGAACAAAAGAAACAGGGAAAGGGGGAAGGAGGGAAGGAAAUGAAAGGGGUUACAGUGUUUAGGGAAAGGCAAGAGGGCCAAAAUAUGCAAGGACUCAAACACAGAACAUUUCUCAUGCUUCCUGAGUUAAAAACAGCACCUCUGAAUCAAAGAAAGCAUGCUUCCACACAUAUCACCCAGAGCGUUAAUGAACUUGGGUUGCAAAUGACCUCUCCAGCCACACUCCUGGCCCCACGGAAUGGUCCUGUGGUGGGCACAGGGCUUUGGGAGCAAGUCUGCUGCCCAUGGUACACAACUCACGACCAUGCUGGAGGCCCCUUCCUGGGCUGCAAGCUCAUUAAGAGUAAGGGCCACAACUUACACACGUGUAUCCUCAAUCUCUUUCAUAAUGCCUCAUAGAGAGAAGUUUCAUAAAUAUUUGCUAAAGUAAUAAAUGGACCAAAAUUGAAUACAAACUGCAAUUUCAUCAUUCCCUCUAGAAGGUCGAAAAUGUAAAGGUCUAACCAGUAUUGCAAAGCUAAACCCAACCAGGACAGGAAUUCGUUUUUAACUUUUUUACUAUUCAACCUGUGGGAGAUGAGAGUUUUCCCCUAACAUCUCCAGAACAGAUGGUGUUCAAAAAUAUUUGGUCAAACUUGCUUAAAAACAAUUAGGCCUCUAUAACCUCCACUCAGGAAGGGCAACAUUCAGGAGGUAACAUUGUAGGUGAGGAGAAGGUAUAUUCAAAUGGGAUCUUGACAAGACGACCAAUCUUUGCAUAUUUAUGCCCAAAUGGAAGCCACUAGGAAGAUGCUUCUCUCUUGAGUGUAAGCCUUUAGGAGGUUAAUCCACAGCUGUGGUUAUCAAGAAUCUGAAACACCUAGAAAUGGAGGAGUCACGGUAGAGU